rnacentral:rRNA from 1 species
CUACCCGGGUUUCUAAUCCCGUUUGCUACCCUAGCUUUCGCGCCUCAGCGUCAGUGUCAGCCCAGCAACCCGUCUUCACCUCAGGUGUUCCUCUUGAUAUCUACGCAUUUCACCGCUACACCAAGAAUUCCAAUUGCCCCUUCUGCACUCUAGCACAUCAGUAUCAGCUGACCGUUCCGAGUUAAGCUCGGAGAUUUCACAGCUGACUUAACACGCCGCCUACGCGCCCUUUACGCCCAGUAAAUCCGAACAACGCUUGGUCCCUACGUAUUACCGCGGCUGCUGGCAC